GGGCGCGUGGUGAAAUAGCAAACACGCACGACUCAAAAUCGUGUGCCGAAAGGCUUGGAGGUGCAAGUCCUCUCGCGCCCA
rnacentral:tRNA from 1 species